rnacentral:rRNA from 1 species
UACGGGGCGCAGCAGGCGGGAAAACUUUACAAUGCUGGAAACAGCGAUAAGGGGACCUAGAGUGCCAGGUUACAAAUUUGGCUGUCGUGAUGCCUAAAAAGCAUUGCAUAGCAAGGGCCGGGCAAGACCGGUGCCAGCCGCCGCGGUAACACCGGCGGCUCGAGUGGUAACCGUUAUUAUUGGGUCUAAAGGGUCUGUAGCCGGCCGGAUAAGUCUCUUGGGAAAUCUGGCAGCUUAACUGUCAGGCUUCAGGAGAU